CACUGUCAAAGAGUGAGAUCAGCUUUGACUCCAGUCUCGUUUACCUCCUAGGAUCAUGUUCCAACCAAGCCUACCACUUCUUCCUUCAGCAUUUACAGCAUCCUGACAUGCUCAUCCUGUCUCCUGAGCUCCAACCGUCGCAUCUAUUCCAGAGGCCAUCACUGUAACCCCUGCAGCGCGUCCAGUGCAAGUCRCCUUGGAGAGCCUGGAGUCAGUGAUGGCCGUGGAGCUGCUUCCAUACCCAGCGYCUCCACGUGCAGAACAUACCAGGCUCAACCUUCAGCAGAGUGCAACAGCAGUGGUGGGGAGAACCACAAACUAAAUGUGUAAGAGGCUGAUAGAUUUGAUUAAAGGAAGAAGGGCACAGAUAAUACAGCACCAGACAGUGUCUAUUAAAAAGGAUCCCAGAUUGCCUUGGCUAUCUAGAAGACCAGCACAUUAUCUGGACAAUACAGAAUCAGACACCAUAGUGGGCCCAGAAGAGAUUCCCUGCA